AUGGGCUAGAGCUGGCAAAACUAAACUGACAAUUGGCUCCAUAUAUGCCCCAAACUCAAAGCAAUUAGAAUUCAUCCAGAAAACACUAACAAAAAUCCUCUCCUUCUAUGCAGGGGAAGCAAUCUUGGAAGGUGAUUUCAACCUAAAUCUGAGAGAUAGUCCACCUACAACCCCAUGGGCUACCUUCCUCCAAAACAUACCCCAAACGACUAGAGAUUCUUAGAAAUUACUAAAAAUGCUAAAACAGAGGCCUAUACGACAUCUGAGGCAAAAAAACAACAACCAGGAGACACCAGCCACACAUUCCAGGCGCCAUGGCACAACGCCCAAACUGGAUAGCAUUCUGCUCAUGCAAGUCCUGAUCCUUUUGGUUGAAACAACAAACAUUGGUAACAUUAAGGUAAUUGCAACUUUAACUCUCAAGUCGUGAUGGAAAGGAAAACAAAUCCAAUGAUGAAAGUUUAAAGGAACUGGCCACACAGGACGGAGCUGCUUCUGGAAAGAGAGUCCCUUGUGGCUGAGAGAACUUAAAAGCUCUUCAAUUCCAAAGCAGGGUGGGUGGGGGGAUUCCAGGCUUGCUGACUGCCAAAGCCAGCCACCCUUCAUCCCCUGCCAUGAGCCUUUGUAUCCAGGUGCUAGACACAUAGCAACAGCAUCCUAAUCUCAUCUGUGCUGAGAACCAUUGAGCAGCAGCUGCAUGAAAGGUAUAAGCAGCUAUUUUCCUGACUCGGGUGAGUAUUUUCCUGGCUUAGGACCAAAUUGGUGGCUGUGGCAUGCCUUUUUCUUUCUUUUCCUUUUUUUAGUUGGCUUGAGAACAACGUGAUGAGCAUGCCAUUUAAUUUUUCUGGCCUGAGUUCAUGUAGUUGAGCAAGCUGAGUGUCUAGAAGUUGUACUGAAUGCCUUUUGUUCUCUCUCCUUUCCUCUUUGUAAUAACUCCUUUGCAAGACUGUUUGCAGGCAAAACCCAUUGGUUUUUGUUUUGGAAAGCACUCAGGAGGUGCCCGAGUGAGACAUAAUAAGAAGUUUCUUCUACAGUCACAGUGGGAUGUAAACUACAUUUUCUUUUUAAAAAAAUAAAAAUAAAUCAAAGAUCCUUACAGAUAUUUUGCUGCCUCAAAGUAUUUGGCU